AACCUUUACAAUGCACGCAAGUGUGAUAAGGGAAUCCCAAGUGCUUUGCUUUUGCAAGGCUUUUGCUAAGUUAAAACACUUUGU
rnacentral:rRNA from 1 species